GCAUUGAUGGCUCGGUGAGGCCUCCGGACUGGCUCAGGAGGGUUGGCAACGACCCCCCAGAGCCGGAAAGCUGGUCAAACCCGGUCAUUUAGAGGAAGUAAAAGUCGUAACAAGGUUUCCGUAGGUGAACCUGCGGAAGGAUCAUUACCGAGUGAGGGUUUCUCUGAAGCCCAACCUCCCACCCGUGUAUACCGUACCCUGUUGCUUCGGCGGGCCCGCCUCACGGCCGCCGGGGGACCUCGCGUCCCCGGGCCCGCGCCCGCCGAAGACCCCAACACGAACACUGUCUGAAAAGUGCAGUCUGAGUCGAUUGUUACCAAUCAGUCAAAACUUUCAACAAUGGAUCUCUUGGUUCCGGCAUCGAUGAAGAACGCAGCGAAAUGCGAUAACUAAUGUGAAUUGCAGAAUUCAGUGAAUCAUCGAGUCUUUGAACGCACAUUGCGCCCCCUGGUAUUCCGGGGGGCAUGCCUGUCCGAGCGUCAUUGCUGCCCUCAAGCACGGCUUGUGUGUUGGGCCCCGUCCCCGGUACCCCCGGGGACGGGCCCGAAAGGCAGCGGCGGCACCGCGUCCGGUCCUCGAGCGUAUGGGGCUUUGUCACCCGCUCUGCAGGCCCGGCCGGCGCCAGCCGACCAACCCAACCAUUUUUUACAGGUUGACCUCGGAUCAGGUAGGGAUACCCGCUGAACUUAAGCAUAUCAAUAAGCGGAGGAAAAGAAACCAACCGGGAUUGCCUCAGUAACGGCGAGUGAAGCGGCAAGAGCUCAAAUUUGAAAGCUGGCUCCUUCGGGGUCCGCAUUGUAAUUUGCAGAGGAUGCUUCGGGUGCGGCCCCUGUCUAAGUGCCCUGGAACGGGCUGUCAGAGAGGGUGAGAAUCCCGUCUGG
rnacentral:ncRNA from 1 species